CUGAGAAACCUAAAAGGAAAAGAGAGAUUCAAGGACUUAGUAUACUGAGUAAUGUCACAUUUUCAUGUUAUUUAUUGCUAAUUGCAGCGAGCACUUCUCUCUUAGUAGGACGUCCCGACCCGUUAAGUCUUAGCCUACGGCCCGAACUUUAAUAUUUUUUGUAUUGAAGACCUUCGGUAUUGAAGACCUUCGGUGUUUGUCUGGCCUAAGUACUUGACGGGGUAUUAAGCCGCAAAUUUUUUUGCGUCCUUGCGUCCGGCCUGCCGCAAGUUUAUUGACAAACUGUAUUAUCAUAGACCUUGUGCUAUGUAUAUGGGUUGUGCUUUUGGACCGGCUUAUUCUAUGCCUGUCAGGGACGCUUAGGCUUUGGGUACUCUCAGGACCCGKCUUGAAACACGGACCAAGGAGUCUAACAUGUACGCGAGUCAUUGGGUAUAUAUUUUCCAAACCUAAAGGCGAAAUGAAAGUAAAGGUCGGG
rnacentral:rRNA from 1 species